GAUGAACGCUGGCGGCGUGCCUAAUCCAUGCAAGUCGAGCGAACAGACGAGGAGCUUGCUCCUCUGACGUUAGCGGCGGACGGGUGAGUAACACGUGGAUAACCUACCUAUAAGACUGGGAUAACUUCGGGAAACCGGAGCUAAUACCGGAUAAUAUAUUGAACCGCAUGGUUCAAUAGUGAAAGACGGUUUUGCUGUCACUUAUAGAUGGAUCCGCGCCGCAUUAGCUAGUUGGUAAGGUAACGGCUUACCAAGGCAACGAUGCGUAGCCGACCUGAGAGGGUGAUCGGCCACACGGGAACUGAGACACGGUCCAGACUCCUACGGGAGGCAGCAGUAGGGAAUCUUCCGCAAUGGGCGAAAGCCUGACGGAGCAACGCCGCGUGAGUGAUGAAGGUCUUCGGAUCGUAAAACUCUGUUAUUAGGGAAGAACAAAUGUGUAAGUAACUAUGCACGUCUUGACGGUACCUAAUCAGAAAGCCACGGCUAACUACGUG
rnacentral:rRNA from 1 species